rnacentral:rRNA from 1 species
UGGGGGAUAUUGCACAAUGGAGGAAACUCUGAUGCAGCAACGCCGCGUGAAGGAUGAAGGUCUUCGGAUUGUAAACUUUUGUACUUGGGGACGAUAAUGACGGUACCCAAGCAGCAAGCUCCGGCUAACUACGUGCCAGCAGCCGCGGUAAUACGUAGGGAGCAAGCGUUGUCCGGAUUUACUGGGUGUAAAGGGUGCGUAGGCGGCUAUGCAAGUCAGUUGUGAAAACUAUGGGCUCAACCCAUAGCCUGCAAUUGAAACUGCGUGGCUUGAGUGAAGUAGAGGUAGGUGGAAUUCCCGGUGUAGCGGUGAAAUGCGUAGAGAUCGGGAGGAACACCAGUGGCGAAGGCGACCUACUGGGCUUUAACUGACGCUGAGGCACGAAAGCAUGGGUAGCAAACAGGAUUAGAUACCCUGGUAGUCCAUGCCGUAAACGAUGAUUACUAGGU